rnacentral:rRNA from 1 species
GAUGAACGCUGGCGGCGUGCCUAAUACAUGCAAGUCGAGCGAACGGACGAGAAGCUUGCUUCUCUGAUGUUAGCGGCGGACGGGUGAGUAACACGUGGAUAACCUACCUAUAAGACUGGGAUAACUUCGGGAAACCGGAGCUAAUACCGGAUAAUAUUUUGAACCGCAUGGUUCAAAAGUGAAAGACGGUCUUGCUGUCACUUAUAGAUGGAUCCGCGCUGCAUUAGCUAGUUGGUAAGGUAACGGCUUACCAAGGCAACGAUGCAUAGCCGACCUGAGAGGGGGAUCGGCCACACUGAAACUGAGACACGGCCCAGACUCCUACGGGAGGCAGAAGUAGGGAAUCUGCCGCAAUGGGCGAAAGCCUGACGGAGCAACGCCGCGUGAGUGAUGAAGGUCUUCGGAUCGUAAAACGCUGUUAUUAGGGAAGAACAUAUGUGUAAGUAACUGUGCACAUCUUGACGGUACCUAAUCAGAAAGCCACGGCUAACUACGU